rnacentral:lncRNA from 1 species
CCUCUGUCUCUGUCUCCUACACUGUCUCUCUUAUGUCUCCCACACUGUCUCUCUUAUUCUCAAUCACUUCCUCUGUCUCUGUCUCCCACACUGUCUCUCUUAUUCUCAAUCACUUCCUCUGUCUCUGUCUCCUACACUGUCUCUCUUAUGUCUCCCACACUGUCUCUCUUAUUCUCAAUCACUUCCUCUGUCUCUGUCUCCCACACUGUCUCUCUUAUUCUCAAUCACUUCCUCUGUCUCUAUCUCCCACACUGUCUCUCUUAUUCUCAAUCACUUCCUCUGUCUCUGACUCCUACACUGUCUCUCUUAUGUCUCCCACACUGUCUCUCUUAUUCUCAAUCACUUCCUCUGUCUCUGUCUCCCACACUGUCUCUCUUAUUCUCAAUCACUUCCUCUGUCUCUGUCUCCUACACUGUCUCUCUUAUGUCUCCCACACUGUCUCUCUUAUUCUCAAUCACUUCCUCUGUCUCUGUCUCCCACACUGUCUCUCUUAUUCUCAAUCACUUCCUCUGUCUCUAUCUCCCACACUGUCUCUCUUAUUCUCAAUCACUUCCUCUGUCUCUGUCUCCUACACUGUCUCUCUUAUGUCUCCCACACUGUCUCUCUUAUUCUCAAUCACUUCCUCUGUCUCUCUCCCACACUGUCUCUCUUAUUCUCAAUCACUUCCUCUGUCUCUGUCUCCCACACUGUCUCUCUUAUUCUCAAUCACUUCCUCUGUCUCUGUCUCCCACACUGUCUCUCUUAUUCUCAAUCCCUUCCUCUGUCUCUGUCUCCCACACUGUCUCUCUUAUUCUCAAUCACUUCCUCUGUCUCUGUCUCCCACAAUGUCUCUCUUAUUCUCAAUCACUUCCUCUGUCUCUGUCUCCCACACUGUCUCUCUCAUUCUCAAUCACUUCCUCUGUCACUGUCUCCUACACUGUCUCUCUUAUUCUCAAUCACUUCCUCUGUCUCUGUCUCCUACACUGUCUCUCUUAUUCUCAAUCGCUUUCUCUGAGGAUAACAGGGCCAAACGGUUCUGGACAAAAGUAUAUGAUGUACUCUGUGGAGAAUAAGGUGCUGUUUGGGACACUGAUAGAAACAUUUCU